rnacentral:rRNA from 1 species
CCUGGCUCACGAUGAACGCUGGCGGCGCGCCUAACACAUGCAAGUCGAACGAGCGAGAGAGAGCUUGCUUUCUCGAGCGAGUGGCGAACGGGUGAGUAACGCGUGAGGAACCUGCCUCAAAGAGGGGGACAACAGUUGGAAACGACUGCUAAUACCGCAUAAGCCCACGGCUCGGCAUCGAGCAGAGGGAAAAGGAGCAAUCCGCUUUGAGAUGGCCUCGCGUCCGAUUAGCUAGUUGGUGAGGUAACGGCCCACCAAGGCGACGAUCGGUAGCCGGACUGAGAGGUUGAACGGCCACAUUGGGACUGAGACACGGCCCAGACUCCUACGGGAGGCAGCAGUGGGGAAUAUUGCACAAUGGGGGAAACCCUGAUGCAGCGACGCCGCGUGGAGGAAGAAGGUCUUCGGAUUGUAAACUCCUGUUGUUGAGGAAGAUAAUGACGGUACUCAACAAGGAAGUGACGGCUAACUACGUGCCAGCAGCCGCGGUAAAACGUAGGUCACAAGCGUUGUCCGGAAUUACUGGGUGUAAAGGGAGCGCAGGCGGGAAGACAAGUUGGAAGUGAAAUCCAUGGGCUCAACCCAUGAACUGCUUUCAAAACUGUUUUUCUUGAGUAGUGCAGAGGUAGGCGGAAUUCCCGGUGUAGCGGUGGAAUGCGUAGAUAUCGGGAGGAACACCAGUGGCGAAGGCGGCCUACUGGGCACCAACUGACGCUGAGGCUCGAAAGUGUGGGUAGCAAACAGGAUUAGAUACCCUGGUAGUCCACACUGUAAACGAUGAUUACUAGGUGUUGGAGGAUUGACCCCUUCAGUGCCGCAGUUAACACAAUAAGUAAUCCACCUGGGGAGUACGACCGCAAGGUUGAAACUCAAAGGAAUUGACGGGGGCCCGCACAAGCAGUGGAGUAUGUGGUUUAAUUCGACGCAACGCGAAGAACCUUACCAAGUCUUGACAUCCCUUGACGAUGCUGGAAACAGUAUUUCUCUUCGGAGCAAGGAGACAGGUGGUGCAUGGUUGUCGUCAGCUCGUGUCGUGAGAUGUUGGGUUAAGUCCCGCAACGAGCGCAACCCUUAUGGUCAGUUACUACGCAAGAGGACUCUGGCCAGACUGCCGUUGACAAAACGGAGGAAGGUGGGGAUGACGUCAAAUCAUCAUGCCCUUUAUGACUUGGGCUACACACGUACUACAAUGGCGUUAAACAAAGAGAAGCAAGACCGCGAGGUGGAGCAAAACUCAGAAACAACGUCCCAGUUCGGACUGCAGGCUGCAACUCGCCUGCACGAAGUCGGAAUUGCUAGUAAUCGCAGAUCAGCAUGCUGCGGUGAAUACGUUCCCGGGCCUUGCACACACCGCCC